rnacentral:rRNA from 1 species
GACGAACGCUGGCGGCGUGCUUAACACAUGCAAGUCGAACGCUGAAGCUUGGUGCUUGCACUGGGUGGAUGAGUGGCGAACGGGUGAGUAAUACGUGAGUAACCUGCCCUUGACUCUGGGAUAAGCCUGGGAAACUGGGUCUAAUUCUGGAUACGACAUGUCACCGCAUGGUGGCGUGUGGAAAGGGUUUUACUGGUUUUGGAUGGGCUCACGGCCUAUCAGCUUGUUGGUGGGGUAAUGGCUCACCAAGGCGACGACGGGUAGCCGGCCUGAGAGGGUGACCGGCCACACUGGGACUGAGACACGGCCCAGACUCCUACGGGAGGCAGCAGUGGGGAAUAUUGCACAAUGGGCGAAAGCCUGAUGCAGCGACGCCGCGUGAGGGAUGACGGCCUUCGGGUUGUAAACCUCUUUCAGCACGGAAGAAGCGAAAGUGACGGUACGUGCAGAAGAAGCGCCGGCUAACUACGUG